UGGUGGCGCUAGAGCUGUUGGGCUAGCGACCUGAGAUUGGCUUAAUGGGCUAAUGGGGCUGUCCUGAACCAUUGUGCCAAAUUUCACAACUUUUCGCCAAGCGGUUCUAUGGGCUGCCAUUGACUCCAAUGGCAGCAUAAUAAUAAUAAUAAUAAUAAGAAUUGGUACGAAAACAAUAGGUUGUCUCGCAACAUAGUUGCUUGACACCCAAUAAGAAUUCGUACAAUAACAAUAGGUUGUCUCGCAACAUAGUUGCUUGACACCCAAUAAGAAUUCGUACGAAAACAAUAGGUUGUCUCGCAACAUAGUUGCUUGACACCCAAUAAUU
ensembl:lncRNA